rnacentral:rRNA from 1 species
GAUGAACGCUAGCUACAGGCUUAACACAUGCAAGUCGAGGGGAAACGGCAUUAAGUGCUUGCACUUUUUGGACGUCGACCGGCGCACGGGUGAGUAACGCGUAUCCAACCUUCCCAUGACUAAGGGAUAACCUGCCGAAAGGCAGACUAAUACCUUAUGGUCUUCACUGACGGCAUCAGAUGUGAAGUAAAGAUUUAUCGGUUAUGGAUGGGGAUGCGUCUGAUUAGCUUGUUGGCGGGGUAACGGCCCACCAAGGCAACGAUCAGUAGGGGUUCUGAGAGGAAGGUCCCCCACAUUGGAACUGAGACACGGUCCAAACUCCUACGGGAGGCAGCAGUGAGGAAUAUUGGUCAAUGGGCGAGUGCCUGAACCAGCCAAGUAGCGUGCAGGAUGACGGCCCUAUGGGUUGUAAACUGCUUUUGUAUGGGGAUAAAGUCAAUCACGUGUGAUUGUUUGCAGGUACCAUACGAAUAAGGACCGGCUAAUUCCGUG